GGGCGUAUGGUCUAGUGGUUACGAUUUUCUCAAGAGGUCAUGACUUUAGCAAAGACGAAGCGUUAACCCUUCCGCAAGCCAUUGCUUGACGAGAAUGAGGUGAAGCACUCUUUCAAAGACCCGUACCUUGGAAUCAGCUCCUUCGCGGGAGCCUCCCUGGUCGGAAGUCAGUCCCAUGGUUUACCAGCAACCCUCCCCCCUCCGUGGGAAAGUGUGGGUAAUGCUGGUUUGUCGACUUCAGACAAGCCAAGUGUGAUGACUUUGAUCGUCUUGAGAGACCUAGGUUCGAAUCCUAGUGCGUCCA